UACGAACUGUGCGAACGUUAUUCGGAAUCACUGGGCUUACAGGGUGCGUAGGCGGCUUGUUAAGUAGGGUGUGAAAGCCCCCGGCUCAACCGGGGAAGUGCACCCGAAACUGCAAAGCUAGAGUCUCGGAGAGGAUCGUGGAAUUCUCGGUGUAGCGGUGAAAUGCGUAGAUAUCUGGAGGAACACCGGUGGCGAAGGCGGCAUCCUGGACCAUUACUGACACUGAAAAGCGAAAGCCAGGGGAGCAAACGGG
rnacentral:rRNA from 1 species